CAUUUCAUUUCAAAUUUCAAAAAACAACUUCCCUUCGCAGCUUCUCUCUCAUUUCUAAAUUUCUUCAUCUUUCUUCUCAACGGCAACUAUCUCCCUCCUCUUCCCCCUCUCUCCGCCUCCCCUUCUCUCUCGAUCUCUUGUCUCCUUCGUCUUCCUCAGAAUCUUCACUCUUCCUUUCUCUCAAUUUCUAUUCUCUAAAAUGAAGCAUCCACCCAAGAAACCCUAUCUUGCUAAAUACCCAUCUCGCCGAUCCACUGUCAUUUUCUAUUCCAUGCGCUAACGGCGCCGGAAUCAAGGGCGGAAGACCCCUCGGAAGCCUAUGUCGUCUUCCAAAGAAAAUGCUUCACCGUCAGAUCCCAAAUUCCCAACUCCAUGGUUCCCGAUUCCAAACCCUCGCCGACUAAGUUGAAGAGCCUGCUCCAUCUUCUAACCCACUUAAGCGGAAGCUCAGUAUGGAGACCGUUCCUGAGAAUUCCAUCCCUGGGUUGUCUGAUUCUGUUGUUAAGAUUAGAGAAGAUGUAAAAUCUGGUGUAGAAAAUUUAACAGAGGAGUGUGUAUCCACAAUGGCAGCCGUUACUCGGCUUCUAAUGAAGUCGAUUAUGGUGGCUCACUUUGGAAACUUGUUACAUAGCUACUGCCAAAAGCUUUAAAUUGCCUUCCGGAUGCACCUCAAAAUCAGCUUCAUUCUUUGUGUUUUCUAAUUUCUAGCUCACUCAAUUCAGCCAUGGAAGUACGGAGAUAUUCCAAAUUUUAUAAUGCAAAACCUGAUGAAGCCGAUGAUGGUGUUUGCACAAGAGCUUGGAGAUUCUUUUUAUCUUACUUCACAAUUGACGUUCUUUCAGUUCUUCCACUCCCCCAGCCAUGCAGGGUUUACAGAAAGAUUUGAACUUUUCAUUUGUGGUCGUGAGCUGGCCAAUGCAUUUUUCGAAUUGAUCGAUCGUAUUUAUCAGGUAAGAGGUGAUUAUAUCAAUCAUUAAUGUUAGAAGGGUGCACAGAUGAUGAAACUUUUUAGCCAAUUUCAUGGCAUUUGAAAGAGAGAAAGUACAUUAGUAUUGAACUCAAGUUAAACUGGAUAGUCUAUCACCUUUUGGAAGAUAACUUUCCUGUACUUUGUUCCAUCUUGUAUAGACCCUUUCAGUCGAAAGGUUACCAAAGGAAUCGUUUUUGUUA